rnacentral:rRNA from 1 species
GAUGAACGCUGGCGGCGUGCCUAAUACAUGCAAGUCGAGCGGACAGACGAGGAGCUUGCUCCUCUGACGUUAGCGGCGGACGGGUGAGUGACACGUGGAUAACCCACCUAUAAGACGGGGAUAACUUCGGGAAACCGGAGCUUAUAGCUGAUAAUAUAUUGAACCGCAGGGGUCAAUAGUGAAAGACGGCUUUGGGGUAUCUACUAGAGGGAUAUCGGCCGGAUUAGCUGGUUGGUACGGUAACGGCUUAUCAAGGGAAGGAUGCGUGGCCGACCUGAGAGGGUGGUCGGCGGCAUUGGAACUGGGACACGGUCAUGACUCCUACGGGAGGCAGCAGUAGGGAAUCUGCCGCAGUGGGCGGAAGCUUGACGGAGCGACGCCGCGUCAGUGGUGAAGGUCUUCGGAUCGUAAAACUCUGUUAUUAGGGAAGAACAAAUGUGUAAGUAACUAUACCCGUCUUGACGGUACCUGAUCAGAAAGCCACGGCUAACUACGUG